rnacentral:rRNA from 1 species
GAUGAACGCUGGCGGCGUGCCUAAUACAUGCAAGUCGAGCGAACAGAUAAGGAGCUUGCUCCUUUGACGUUAGCGGCGCACGGGUGAGAAACACGUGGGUAAUCUACCUAUAAGACUGGUAUAAUCACGGGAAACCGGGGCUAAUGCCGGAUAACAUUUAGAACCGUAUGGUUCUAAAGUGAAAGAUGGUUUUGCUAUCACUUAUAGAUGGACCUGCGCCGUAUUAGCUAGUUGGUAAGGUCACGGCUUACCAAGGCAACGAUACGUAGCCGACCUGAGAGGGUGAUCGCCCACACUAGAGCGUAGACACGGACCAUGCUCCUACGGGAGGCAGCAGUAGGGAAUCUUCCGCAGUGGGCGAAAGCAUGACGGAGCAGCGCGACGUGAGUGAUGAAGGUCUUCGGAUCGUAAAACUCUGUUAUUAGUGAUGAACAAAUUUGGAAGUAACUGUGCACGUCUUGACGGUACCGAAUCAGAAAGCCACGGCUAACUACGUG